rnacentral:rRNA from 1 species
UCCAGUUUAUCCUGCUGGAGGCUGCGGCUAUCUGGUUUGCACUAAGACAUGCAAGUCUCUCGAAAGAGGGCAAACUGCUCAGUAACACGUAGCUAAUCUACCCUUAGGUCAGGGAUACACUCGGGAAACUGAGUAUAAUAUCUGAUAGAAGAUGGUUUCUGGAAUGAGCUAUCUUUCAAAGGUAACGCCUAAGAAUGAGGCUGCGGCUGAUUAGGUAUGUUGUUGGGGUAAUGGCCUAACAAGCCGAUGAUCAGUAAGGGCUCUUAGCGGAGUUGCCCUGAGAAGGACUCUGAGACACUAGUCCUAGCCCUACGGGGUGCAGCAGUUAGGAAUCUUUUGCAAUGCGCGCAAGCGUGACAAAGCGAGCCAGAGUGUUUCUCUAUAUGAGAAACUUUUGCUUGCUGUAAAAAGGCAGGCGAAUAAGGACUGGGCAAGACCGGUGCCAGCCGCCGCGGUAAUCCCGGCAGUCCGAGUCGCAGCCAUCAUUAUUGGGUCUAAAACAUCCGUAGCUAGUAGUGAAAGUCUCUUGUGAAAUCUUAACUCUUAAGGUUAAGGCGGGCAAGAGAUACUACAUUACUUGAGACCGGAAGGCGCAAGAAGUACAAUCAGGGUAGUGGUAAAAUACGUUAAUCCUGGUUGGACUAACAAUCGCGAAGGCAUCUUGCGAGGACGGUUCUGACAGUGAGGGAUGAAGGCUAGGGGCGCAAAACGGAUUAGAUACCCGUGUAGUCCUAGCAGUAAACACUGCGCACUAAACAUCAGUACCUCCUCGAGAGGUAUUGGUGCUGUAGGGAAGCUGAAGAGUGCGCUACCUGGGAAGUAUAGUCGCAAGGCCGAAACUUAAAGGAAUUGGCGGGGGAGCACUACAACGUGUGACGCGUGCGGUUCAAUUAGAUUCCACACCGUGAACCUCACCAGGAGCGACAGCAGAAUGAAGGUCAGUCUGAAGGGCUUACCUGACACGCUGAGAGGAGUUGCAUGGCCGACCUCAGCCUGUGCCGUGAGGUGACCUGUUAAAUCAGGUAACAGGCGAGACCCAUGUGUAUAUUUGCUAUCUGAAGAAGAUGCACUCUAUACAGACUGCCUUGGCAACAAGGAGGAAGGUAUGGGCUAUGUUAGGUGAGUACGGCCCGAAUCCCCUGGGCGACACGCGCGCGGCAAUGCUGCAUACAAUGAGAUGCAACUCUGAAAAGAGAAGCUAACCUCAUAAAGUGCAGCCUAGUUCAGAUUGAGGUUUGCAACCCAGCCUCAUGACGCUGGAAUCCGUAGUAAUCGUUCGUUAGCAGUGAACGGUGAAUAAGUCCCUGCUCCUUGCACACACCGCCCGUCAAACCAACCGAGUUCUAUAUUGGUGAGGUCUUUCGAGAACGAGCCUUUGUAAGACAAGGUAGGUUAAGUCGUCACAAGGUA